rnacentral:rRNA from 1 species
GAUGAACGCUGGCGGCGUGCCUAAUACAUGCAAGUCGAGCGAACAGACGAGGAGCUUGCUCCGUUGACGUUAGCGGCGGACGGGUGAGUAACACGUGGAUCACCUACCUAUAAGACUGGGAUAACUUCGGGAAACCGGCGCUAAUACCGGAUAACAUGUUGAACCGCAUGGUUCAACAGUGAAAUACGGUCUUGCGGUCACUUCUAGAUGGAUCCGAGCCGUAUUAGCUAGUUGGUAAGGUAACGGCUUACCACGGCAACGAUGCGUAGCCGACCUGAGAGGGUGAUCGGCCACACGGGAACUGAGACACGGUCCAGACGCCUGAGGGAGGCAGCAGUAGGGAAUCUGACGCAACGGUCGAAAGCCUGACGGAGCAACGGCGAGUGAGUGAAGAAGGUCCUCCGUUCGUAAAGACCUGUUUCGAGGGAAGAACAAAUGUGUCAGUAACUAUGCACGUCGUGACGGUACCGAAUAAGAAAGCACCGGCUAACUACGUG